rnacentral:pre_miRNA from 7 species
UUCUGUUGGGGAUGCUUGCAAUGUAAGACCCCCUUUCGGGGACCCCUACUCUAGUCUCGGGAGUGUGAGAGCACCCAAAGAAACACGAGGACCU